rnacentral:sRNA from 1 species
UAUAACAGCGGCGCGCGUGGCUCGCAGACCGGGGAGACGGGCGGGCGCACAGCCGGCGCGGAGGCCCCACAGCCCCGCCAGGACCCGAGGCCAAGCGAGGGGCUGCCAGUGUCCCGGGACCCACCGCGUCCGCCCCAGCCCCGGGUCCCCGCGCCCACCCCAUGGCGGCGGACGCGGCGCUACGCCGGCUUCUGAGGCUGCACCGCACGGAGAUCGCGAUGGCCGUGGACAGCGCCUUCCCACUGCUGCACGCGCUGGCCGACCACGACGUGGUCCCCGAGGACAAGUUCCAGGAGACGCUUCAUCUGAAGGAAAAGGAGGGCUGCCCCCAGGCCUUCCACGCCCUCCUGUCCUGGCUGCUGACCCAGGGCUCCACAGCCAUCCUGGACUUCUGGAGGGUGCUGUUCAAGGACUACAACCUGGAGCGCUAUGGCCGGCUGCAGCCCAUCCUGGACAGCUUCCCCAAAGAUGUGGACCUCAGCCAGCCCCGGAAGGGGAGGAAGCCCCCGGCCGUCCCCAAGGCUUUAGUACCGCCACCCAGACUCCCCACCAAGAGGAAGGCCUCAGAAGAGGCUCGAGCUGCCGCGCCAGCAGCCCUGACUCCAAGGGGCACCGCCAGCCCAGGUACCCUCCCUGCAGGGGAAGCCAGCCGGGGUCUCCAGUCUUCCCGGGCUUCCCCGGGAGCCCACGCCCCCUCCCCACCCGGGCUCCCACCCACUGGGUGUGGGGCCAGCCUGCCUGGGGCUGUGGGGGUCUCCUCUGGGUACUAGACCCACACACUGGACCAGCCUCUCAGCUCCCUCCUGCCCGAAGGCUGAGCUCCCCGGAGCUGGUGAAGUAGGCGGGCGGGUCUCAUUUCCCUUUUACUGAUGAGAAACCAGAGCCUGGCAAAGGGACUAUCCAGCACUGGACCGCCCCCUCCACGCCCUCCCACCGCGGGCCCCUGCCCACCGGCACUCACCCCCACUGAGAGGGGAGGCCAGGCUGCCCCCAGCUCCCCCAUUCAGGCUCUCAACUGAAGGCCAAGCCCCCCAAGAAGCCGGAGAGCAGCGCAGAGCAGCAGCGCCUUCCACUCGGGAACGGGAUUCAGACCAUGUCAGCUUCAGUCCAGAGAGCUGUGGCUGUGUCCUCCGGGGACGUCCCGGGAGCCCGAGGGGCUGUGGAAGGGAUCCUCAUCCAGCAGGUGUUUGAGUCAGCUGUUGGUCAUUAUGGGGGUACCCCUGUGCCCCUUGUUCCUGGGCUCAGGACCCCACCGCUCCAGCCUCUACUUCUGUGGUCUCACAGCUGUCUCCCACGUGUCCUUUUUAUAAGGACACCAGUCAUUGAACUUAUGGUCCAGUGUGACCUCAUCUUAACUAAUCACAUCUACAAAGACCCUGAUUUCAAGGGGCUCCAAGAAGUGCAUCCAGGUUGGUGGGGAGUUCUACACUCCCAGCAAGUUCGAAGACCCCGGCAGUGGGAAGAACAAGGCCCGCAGCAGCAGUGGCCUGAAGCCUCUGGUUCGAGCCAAGGGAGCCCAGGGCGCUGCCCCCGGUGGAGGUGAGGCUAGGCUGGGCCAGCAGGGCAGGGUUCCCGCCCCUCUGGCCCUCCCCAGUGACCCCCAGCUCCACCAGAACGAGGAUGAGUGUGCCGUGUGUCGGGAUGGCGGGGAGCUCAUCUGCUGUGACGGCUGCCCUCGGGCCUUCCACCUGGCCUGCCUGUCCCCUCCGCUCCGGGAGAUCCCCAGUGGGACCUGGAGGUGCUCCAGCUGCCUGCAGGCAACAGUCCAGGAGGUGCAGCCCCGGGCAGAGGAGCCCCAGCCCCAGGAGCCACCCGUGGAGACCCCGCUCCCCCCGGGGCUUAGGUCGGCGGGAGAGGAGGUAAGAGGUCCACCUGGGGAACCCCUAGCCGGCAUGGACACGACUCUUGUCUACAAGCAUCUGCCGGCCCCGCCUUCUGCAGCCCCGCUGCCAGGGCUGGACUCCUCGGCCCUGCACCCCCUACUGUGUGUGGGUCCUGAGGGUCAGCAGAACCUGGCUCCCGGUGCGCGUUGCGGGGUGUGCGGAGACGGCACGGACGUGCUGCGGUGUACUCACUGCGCCGCCGCCUUCCACUGGCGCUGCCACUUCCCAGCCGGCACCUCCCGGCCCGGGCCUGGCAGCCCCUCAUCCUCUGCUGCAGGACGGGCCUGCGCUGCAGAUCCUGCUCAGGAGACGUGACCCCGGCCCCUGUGGAGGGGGUGCUGGCCCCCAGCCCCGCCCGCCUGGCCCCUGGGCCUGCCAAGGAUGACACUGCCAGUCACGAGCCCACUCUGCACAGGGAUGACCUGGAGUCCCUUCUGAGCGAGCACACCUUCGACGGCAUCCUGCAGUGGGCCAUCCAGAGCAUGGCCCGUCCGGUGGCCCCCUUCCCCUCCUGACCCCAGAUGGCC